UUUGGUAUAUUUUUGAAUUUGUUUGCUAUAUUUAUUUAAUUAAUUGCAUUUGAAGAAAUUUUUUGGUAUAAGUCAAAUUUGAACCGCAAGUGAUUCAAAUUAUAGAAUAAAAUGAGUAGAAAAAUGAUAUUCAUGUUAUUUGGCCCAAUUUGAGACCUGACCCGUGAAAUGAAAAGAAAUUUCGAACAUCUUGUUCAGGAAACACGACCACGAACGUGUGGCAGUGGUAUUUUUAAAUUGUAAAAAAACAAGCAAAGUCUGAAAAUCAUGAGAUUUGUCAUGAUGUGAUGGUAUCAUACAUGGAGGCU
rnacentral:lncRNA from 1 species